AGUGGCGGACGGGUGAGUAACGCGUGAGAAUCUGCCUUGGGGUCGGGGACAACCACUGGAAACGGUGGCUAAUACCGGAUAAGCCGAUUGGUGAAAGAUUUAUUGCCCGAAGAGGAGCUCGCGUCUGAUUAGCUAGUUGGUGAGGUAAGAGCUCACCAAGGCAGCGAUCAGUAGCUGGUCUGAGAGGACGAUCAGCCACACUGGGACUGAGACACGGCCCAGACUCCUACGGGAGGCAGCAGUGGGGAAUUUUCCGCAAUGGGCGAAAGCUGACGGAGCAAGACCGCGUGAGGGAGGAAGGCUCUUGGGUUGUAAACCUCUUUUCUCAGGGAAGAAGCUCUGACGGUACCUGAGGAAUCAGCCUCGGCUAACUCCGUGCCAGCAGCCGCGGUAAUACGGAGGAGGCAAGCGUUAUCCGGAAUUAUUGGGCGUAAAGCGUCCGCAGGUGGCGAUUCAAGUCUGCUGUCAAAGCACGGGGCUUAACUCCGUAAAGGCAGUGGAAACUGAAUAGCUAGAGUGCCGUAGGGGUAGAGGGAAUUCCCGGUGUAGCGGUGAAAUGCGUAGAGAUCGGGAAGAACAUCGGUGGCGAAAGCGCUCUACUGGACGGCAACUGACACUCAGGGACGAAAGCUAGGGGAGCGAAUGGGAUUAGAUACCCC
rnacentral:rRNA from 1 species